rnacentral:snoRNA from 1 species
CCUUCGCUGAUGAGUGACCAUUUGACUUUCGUUCUUCUGAGCUUGCUGAAGCCACCAUUGGUAUCUGAGGAGG